CAGCCUCUUUUUAGAAUUUAUCUAGUAGGUUUUCUGGUUUUCACCAGAAACCACU
ensembl:snRNA U7 U7 small nuclear RNA